GAGCGCAUGCGUGAGACUCUCCGUUGAGCUGCCAUUGAGGAGCAUUUAUUCAGUGAGUGGAAGAGGUUUGUUUGAAAGAGACCGCAAUGGAGAGGCCAGCGCCCAGGGAAGUGAGAGAACAGCAGGCUCCUUCCAGCAACGCAUCGAGAUGCAAAUAUCUGAUGUGCCCAGGCAAUGUCAUAUUUCCGUGGUACUACACCAAGUGUGACUAGCUGCUGCUACUCACAGCACGUACGUGACCAGUGUCAGAGCGGAGACUGUCCUUUCCACAGUCGCGGUUGAAGUAAGACUUGCGUUGAACUCAAUUUCCAGAAAGAAACAAUCAAACCAGCGAUCAAAUGCCACCAACGAAAUACAAAUGUAACUUUUUUCUCUUGUCAGUGUAAACUAGGCCAGCUCCAGUAAAGUGCAUCUUUAACAGCCCAUUGUCAUUCAUAGCAUUUGAAGAGGAUAGAUUGAAUUUAUGUCACAAAUAUACUCUCAAUAAAUACAUUGAAUGCA